CGGGGCGUAGCUCAGCUUGGCUAGAGCGCUACGUUUGGGACGUAGAGGCCGUAGGUUCGAAUCCUAUCGCCCCGA
rnacentral:tRNA from 1 species